CGGAGGGGGCUAGCGUUGUUCGGAAUUACUGGGCGUAAAGGGCGCGCAGGCGGCUGCUCAAGUCAGGCGUGAAAGGCCUGGGCUCAACCCGGGAAUUGCGCUUGAGACUGGGCUGGCUUGAGUGCGGGAGAGGAUGGUGGAAUUCCCAGUGUAGAGGUGAAAUUCGUAGAUAUUGGGAAGAACACCGGUGGCGAAGGCGGCCAUCUGGACCGCAACUGACGCUGAGGCGCGAAAGCGUGGGGAGCAAACAGGAUUAGAUACCCUGGUAGUCCACGCCGUAAACGAUGAGUGCUAGACGUUGGGAAGCCUAGCUUUCCGGUGUCGCAGCUAACGCAUUAAGCACUCCGCCUGGGGAGUACGGCCGCAAGGUUA
rnacentral:rRNA from 1 species